rnacentral:rRNA from 1 species
GUCAAACUAGGAUUAGAUACCCUACUAUGCCCAGCUGUAACAAGGUAGCAACCACACAUCCGCUGCCCGCCCGAAUAGUACGAGCAAAAGCUUAAAAUUCAAAGGACUUGACGGUGUCCCACAUCAACCUAGAGGAGCCUGUCUCAUAAUCGAUAACCCACGCUCAACCCUGCCGCUUCUAGCCAAUCAGCCUAUAUACCGCCGUCCUCAGCUCACCCUGUGAAGGCACAAAAGUAAGCACAACAGUUAGUACACUAAAACGACAGGUCAAAGCGUAGCAUAUGAAACGGAGAAAGAUGGGCUACAUUUUCUACAACAGAACACACGGAAGCAUGCCAUGAAAAAGCACCCUAAGGUGGAUUUAGCAGUAAGAUGGAAAAAAUUGUCUAUCUGAACAACGCCCUGGGAUGCGUACACACCGCCCGUCACCCCCCUCCCCACGUUUUAUCCAAUACCUAAAAUCAAAGACACUCAUAAGAUGGGGCAAGUCGUAACAAGGUAAGUGUACGG